UACGUAGGGGGCAAGCGUUGUCCGGAAUCAUUGGGCGUAAAGCGCGUGUAGGCGGCCAGGUAAGUCCGUUCUGAAAGCCCGGGGCUCAACCCCGGGAGGCGGAUGGAUACUGCUUGGCUCGAGUCCGGAAGAGGCGAGUGGAAUUCCCGGUGUAGCGGUGAAAUGCGCAGAUAUCGGGGGGAACACCAAUGGCGAAGGCAGCUCGCUGGGACGGUACUGACGCUGAGACGCGAAAGCGUGGGGAGCAAACAGG
rnacentral:rRNA from 1 species